AACGAACGCUGGCGGCAUGCCUAACACAUGCAAGUCGAACGCAUCGCAAGAUGAGUGGCGCACGGGUGAGUAACACGUGGGAAUGUGCCCUUUGGUUCGGAAUAACGUCUGGAAACGGACGCUAAUACCGGAUGUCCCCUGCGGGGGAAAGAUUUAUCGCCAAAGGAGCAGCCCGCGUCUGAUUAGGUAGUUGGUGGGGUAAAGGCCUACCAAGCCGACGAUCAGUAGCUGGUCUGAGAGGAUGAUCAGCCACACUGGGACUGAGACACGGCCCAGACUCCUACGGGAGGCAGCAGUGGGGAAUAUUGGACAAUGGGCGCAAGCCUGAUCCAGUCAUGCCGCGUGAGUGAUGAAGGCCUUCGGGUUGUAAAGCUCUUUCGCACGUGACGAUGAUGACGGUAACGUGAGAAGAAGCCCCGGCUAACUUCGUGCCAGCCGCCGCCGUAAGAC
rnacentral:rRNA from 1 species